rnacentral:rRNA from 1 species
CUCAUGGUUUCACGGUAUUGCAAUGAGAACAAUUUAAAACCCUUAGCGAGAAUCAAGUGGAGGACAAGUCUGGUGCCAGCACCCGCGGUAAUUCCAGCUCCACUAGCGUAUAUUAAAGUUGUUGCAGUAAAAAGCUCGUAGUUGAACCUCUGUCUGGGGCUAGUUUUGGCUUUGGUCAGGCUAGUUCUAGGCAUCCGCCUACAAGACUUAGAGGGCAUUCAGUUGUUCACUAGGAGGAGUAGGCAUUUUACUUUGAAAAAAUUAGAGUGUUUAAGGCAGGCAAUCGCCCGCAUAUAUUAGCAUGGAAUAAUAGAAUAGGACACUUUUCCAUUUCGUUGGUUAUUGGAAUCGUGUAAUGAUUAAUAGGGACAGUUGUGGGCAUUUGUAUUUAAUUGUCAGAGGUGAAAUUCUUGGAUUUAUUAAAGACAAACUAACGCGAAAGCAUUUGCCAAGGAUGUUUUCAUUAAUCAAGAACGAAAGUUAGGGGAUCAAAGACGAUCAGAUACCGUCCUAGUCUUAACUAUAAACUAUUCCGACUCAAUGUUUGACUGGCUUAUAUAACCAGUUGAGCGUUGUAUGAGAAAUCAAAGUCUUUAGGUUCUGGGGGGAGUAUGGUUGCAAAGCUGAAACUUAAAGGAAUUGACGGAAGAGCACAACCAGGAGUGGAUUCUGCGGCUUAAUUUGACUCAACACGGGGAAACUUACCAGGUUAAAACAAUAGUGGGAUUGACAGUUUGAGAGCGCUUUCUUGAUUGGUUGGGUGGCGGUGCAUGGCCGUUCUUAGUUGGUGGAGUGAUUUGUCUGCUUAAUUGCGUUAACGAACGAGACCUUAACCUGCUUACUAGACUGGCGAUCAUCAAUCGUUAGCUCUUCUUAGAGGGACUUUGGUUGUUUUAACUCCAAGGAAGUUUGAGGCAAUAACAGGUCUGUGAUGCCCUUAGAUAUCCUGGGCCGCACGCGUCAUACAAUGACUAGUUCAGAAAGUUUUCUCCUGACCCGAAAGGGGAUGGGUAAUCUUGAUAAUACUAGUCGUGUUAGGGAUCGAUCUUUGCAAUUAUAGAUCUUGAACGAGGAAUUCCUAGUAAGUGCGGUUCAUCAGACCGUACUGAUUACGUCCCUGCUCUUUGUACACACCGCCCGUCGCUUCUACCGAGUGGGUGGUCCGGUGAGAUAAUUGAACUUCGCAGGUAACUGAGAGGAAAGAUUAUCAAACCUAUCCACCU